GUCUAGGCGGUGUAGUCGGUUAUCACGUCAGUCUCACACACUGAAGGUCCCCGAUUCAAGUUCGGGCUCAGAGA
rnacentral:tRNA from 1 species